rnacentral:lncRNA from 1 species
UAGAUUCGUGAUCGCUGGAACGUAGGACGUAUGGUUGUACGGCACAUGGCCCCGUGUCAGACGUUUCAGUUUUGCAAAUGAACCUAAAUUAGCGCAGCUCGUUUAUCCACCUGAUUGAUAACGAAAACGUCGGAGGGUCACUCGUCAGAUGGUCCACUCUUUGUAAGGUUACGAGGUGACAGCUCGUAAGUGAACGAUAAUCGUCACCGCCAGCGAACGCGUAAUAAAGUUUCCAAUACAUCGAUAUGGAGACGUAUUGAAUUCAAUAAGCAGAGCGUUCAAGGUCGCCGUAUCCGCAUAGCUAUCAUCACAUCGAUAUCGAGAAAUACAGCAGCUUACAUUCCGGCGUCACAAAUCGAGGGUUCCUAAUCCCACGGGCAAAAACCAACGUCGAAUGAUCCGACACCACCACCCGGAUAUUACAAAAGGACACUUUCCCUCCUCGCACGCCACAAACUUGAGUGUUCCUUUCCAAUCCUACUCGAUUCUAAAAGCUGUAACAGAAUCAGAGGCAGAAAGACACGCCAACACAAAAGUCUUACGCCGAUACUUCUUGUCGUUACACAUCGCAGUCUGCAAAACCCAACCUAUUUUGCUCGAAGUUCAUCCAUACCAAAGGAUCCCACUUCCAUAGGUGUACCGACACCCACAAAUUCAUCGGCACUACCUAUGCAAAUCCGUGAAAGGAGGUACCUCUACAGAAACGUAACAAACGCAAAGCUCCUCUUCAAUCCCACCCGCUCAACAAAGAUCCAAGGAGCCGGAACGGCGGCAGACUAUGCAAAACAAAGAAAGUCUACAUCCAACAAGGUCCGCCGCGAGGUAAAAUCCCGAUCAUGCACUAGGGAGUUCUCGGUGAGCCAACUACGACCUUUGUCUUUCAUUAGUGCUUACUGCAUCGAUUCAUCACAACUACCAUGUGACCAUUUCCUAUCAGCACAUCAAUGUCAAAGAAUCCAACAAGUGUUCAUGAGUCAGUCGUAUUAUUAACACUUUUCCUUGUAGUUUAUAUCAUAACCUCCACCUUCCUUUUU